rnacentral:rRNA from 1 species
UACGUAGGUGGCAAGCGUUGUCCGGAUUUACUGGGCGUAAAGAGCGCGCAGGCGGUCGAUUUAGUCGAGUGUGAAAGCCCCCGGCUCAACUGGGGAGGGUCAUUCGAUACUGAUCGACUCGAAGGCAGGAGAGGGUAGUGGAAUUCCCGGUGUAGUGGUGAAAUGCGUAGAUAUCGGGAGGAACACCAGUGGCGAAGGCGACUACCUGGCCUGUUCUUGACGCUGAGGCGCGAAAGCUAGGGGAGCAAACGGG